rnacentral:rRNA from 1 species
GAGUUUGAUCAUGGCUCAGAUUGAACGCUGGCGGCAGGCCUAACACAUGCAAGUCGAACGGUAACAGGAAGAAGCUUGCUUCUUUGCUGACGAGUGGCGGACGGGUGAGUAAUGUCUGGGAAACUGCCUGAUGGAGGGGGAUAACUACUGGAAACGGUAGCUAAUACCGCAUAACGUCGCAAGACCAAAGAGGGGGACCUUCGGGCCUCUUGCCAUCGGAUGUGCCCAGAUGGGAUUAGCUAGUAGGUGGGGUAACGGCUCACCUAGGCGACGAUCCCUAGCUGGUCUGAGAGGAUGACCAGCCACACUGGAACUGAGACACGGUCCAGACUCCUACGGGAGGCAGCAGUGGGGAAUAUUGCACAAUGGGCGCAAGCCUGAUGCAGCCAUGCCGCGUGUAUGAAGAAGGCCUUCGGGUUGUAAAGUACUUUCAGCGGGGAGGAAGGGAGUAAAGUUAAUACCUUUGCUCAUUGACGUUACCCGCAGAAGAAGCACCGGCUAACUCCGUGCCAGCAGCCGCGGUAAUACGGAGGGUGCAAGCGUUAAUCGGAAUUACUGGGCGUAAAGCGCACGCAGGCGGUUUGUUAAGUCAGAUGUGAAAUCCCCGGGCUCAACCUGGGAACUGCAUCUGAUACUGGCAAGCUUGAGUCUCGUAGAGGGGGGUAGAAUUCCAGGUGUAGCGGUGAAAUGCGUAGAGAUCUGGAGGAAUACCGGUGGCGAAGGCGGCCCCCUGGACGAAGACUGACGCUCAGGUGCGAAAGCGUGGGGAGCAAACAGGAUUAGAUACCCUGGUAGUCCACGCCGUAAACGAUGUCGACUUGGAGGUUGUGCCCUUGAGGCGUGGCUUCCGGAGCUAACGCGUUAAGUCGACCGCCUGGGGAGUACGGCCGCAAGGUUAAAACUCAAAUGAAUUGACGGGGGCCCGCACAAGCGGUGGAGCAUGUGGUUUAAUUCGAUGCAACGCGAAGAACCUUACCUGGUCUUGACAUCCACAGAACUUUCCAGAGAUGGAUUGGUGCCUUCGGGAACUGUGAGACAGGUGCUGCAUGGCUGUCGUCAGCUCGUGUUGUGAAAUGUUGGGUUAAGUCCCGCAACGAGCGCAACCCUUAUCUUUUGUUGCCAGCGGUCCGGCCGGGAACUCAAAGGAGACUGCCAGUGAUAAACUGGAGGAAGGUGGGGAUGACGUCAAGUCAUCAUGCCCCUUACGACCAGGGCUACACACGUGCUACAAUGGCGCAUACAAAGAGCAGCGACCUCGCGAGAGCAAGCGGACCUCAUCAAGUGCGUCGUAGUCCGGAUUGGAGUCUGCAACUCGACUCCAUGAAGUCGGAAUCGCUAGUAAUCGUGGAUCAGAAUGCCAAGGUGAAUACGUUCCCGGGCCUUGUACACACCGCCCGUCACACCAU